rnacentral:rRNA from 1 species
UACGUAGGGGCCGAGCGUUGUCCGGAGUUAUUGGGCGUAAAGCGCGCGCAGGCGGCUUCGCGCGUCCGACGUGAAAGCCCCCGGCUUAACCGGGGAGAGUCGUUGGGGACGGCGGGGCUUGAGGGCGGGAGAGGUCGGUGGAAUUCCCGGUGUAGUGGUGAAAUGCGUAGAGAUCGGGAGGAACACCUGUGGCGAAGGCGGCCGACUGGGCCGACCCUGACGCUGAGGCGCGAAGGCGUGGGGAGCGAACGGG